CAAUAAAUCAGUUGUCGGCAAAAUAAAUUGGAUCAAGCCAAUAGGCAAUACCUAAAUUUGUAGAAAAUGCGAGAUCGAAAAGAUGGAUAUGUCGACUGAAAGCUCGGCCCGAACAUUCAGCUAAAUUGGCAAGAACUUAUUACGCUAAUACGCUAUUUAAUAGUAUUAUAUUUUCUUGCAAUUUUGUGAAGUAUACCAUAGCUAGGAAAUUCGAA